GUUCUGGCUAGGCUUUUUAAGCUAGGGGGAUUUAAGGAAAGGAGACAGUACUCUCUCUCUGAGACCAAGUGAGUCUCUGGGGAUGGGUGGAGUCGAAAACCUCUCCCUUGCUGGGCGAUACUGUCUUGUGUUGACGUUCAAAAAUAUCUCCUUUAAGUUAUCAAAAGAACCAUCUCUUAGGUGCUGUCUGUUAGGGUAGGAGGUGGGCAUGCCUAGGUCUUCUCCUGCUGCGAAGGGAAGAAGGAAGCUAGCUGGGGCCUUUCUGCUGAGCCUUUUAGACAAUAGCACAGACAAGCGUCGCCUGCACACGUCAGCACAAAUGGGAACAUGAUGAGUGAUGCUGCCUGGAGUUAAAGGAGGCCAGGAGCACCAGAAGCUGGAGGAGGCCGGGGUGGAUUCUCGCCUGGAGGCUUCAGUGGGAGCACGAGCUCCCGACACUUCGGUUCCAUCUCUUGUUUAAAGGCACCCAGUUUCUCAUCAUUUGUUACAGCACCAUGGAAAACCCACACACAAGUGAAGCCCCGACCCACCUCCCAAGUGCCCAUCUGAGCACCCCUCGUGGACUCUGAGCAGGGGGUUGCCAUCACCAACUCCAAGUCUUGCAGCCCCUCUUCCCUUCAGUCUGGCUGCCACCUUCUUCAUUGCCCUGGAAAAAAAUAAUGAAGUUUCACCAUUUAAAGGGUUUCAGUGCAGCUUGCUAUGGGAACACUGGAGAGUAACACAAAUGGCCAAUUGUCCUAAUAGCCACCAUGGAUUGGAUGGAUGCUAACAACAGGCUCACAGUUCUCCUUCUGUUGCCUCCUUUUAUCCACAUGAGAAUCAAACAAGACUACUGAUUAAAUGAAGCCUUUGAUGAAGUGCAUGCAGUUUGUAGCUUGAUUCAUGGGAAUACUCAUCACAGACUGAAAGUGUAACCCAGGGUCUCUGGGUUUUUGGGAACGCGCUGUGUAAAAGUAUCUACUUGUAACUGUUACUCCCUGAGUUGUUGUUGUUUUAGAAAGUUCCAAGAAGAAGCUUAGCCUUGGAAAAAACAAAAACUGGUUGAAUCCAGAAGUGGAGAUGAAUUUUGGCCAACGCUCCUCACUGCCACACUAAAAACCCUGCUCAGAGAGGAGCUUAUUCACCAUGUUCUAUUCAUGCAAUGUGUGUGGAAACAUGAUCUACGACAGCAUGCGUGCUGCCUUCACCCUACCUCUACAUACAAUGACUCAUUUAACCUGCUGAAUAAAAGCCCUGUUUUCACCUUUGCUGGGGGAGGUGCCGCUUUGGGAACUAUUCGCAGUGUCCUCUUCACUUUUUGCAAGUAAUAGAAUACCCUUGUUAAAUCCUACUUGGUUGUGGUCAUUAUAGUGUCACCCGCCAAGCAAUCGAUCCCACCCAGGGUUAACAAAUGCGGGAUAACAAAUGUCAGGUUUUAGGCAAGUUACUUACUCGCUCAAAAUAUGAAGAUAUAAGUUACCAUCAGUUGUCAAUCAUGGUGAGCUUUGCUCUGCUGCAGUAACAGACAAUCGUAACUCUUAGUAGCUCUAAAUGACCAGUUUAAAUAACACCUCGUCUUUGUAGUUUUGAUAGCGACAGGAGGCAGCCAAAUGCCUAGGCAGGUAGGGGCAGGUUCCCCGUGAAACUCCAUCUCCAAGCCGAAGACAGUUUAGAGCCUGAAAGCCAAGCUCCACAUUAAAUCCUCCGACUGGAUUGAGAACUUGUCUUCCUGUUUAGUGUGCUUUUCUCUCAUUGGUCCCUGCCAUUCACCUAUUUCAUAUACACCUAACCUUUUCUAAUUGGUUUUCUAUACUGUCAUGCCCAACUUUGAGUGGUCUUUGCUUUAACCUUUUCUACAUAUUCACAAACCGAUCAGCAUGCACCCCCCAUUCUGAGUCCAUGAAAGGCUCUGGAUCUAGCCACACAGAGGAACUUUCCCAUCUUCAGGUAGGGGGGCCACCACCAACAUGUCCCCUCUCCACCAAAAGCUGUUUUCAUUGUUCAAUAAAAUUCUUCUCUGCCUUCCUCACCCUUCAAUGUCCAGCAUAUCCUCAUUCUUCUUGGGCAUGGUACAAGAGCACAGGAACCACUGAAGGUGGGUACAAGUUAUAAUACAGGCAAGUGGGGGCAUGCCAGCUUUGGCUGAGUGAGGACCAGGUCGAGCAUUACUGUCAGGGGAUCCCUGGCUUGCAAAGUGACCAAGAAGAAAAGUCUUACAUUAGUUUGGCUAGGGUGAGGCCCUGACCUCUGUUACCUUCACUCGGCCAGCUCACUGAUGGUGACUCUGUAUUGAUAGGCACUCCACCCAGAAAUUGUGCACUGACAUUUCCUGGCCAACGAAAGUUACUCAACUAUGCCUGAUUUUAAACUGCAAUCCUAACAUGACCCAGAAGGUGAAGAGCCAGAAAUAUUUGAUGACUACACUGAGCCCACUUUCCCUCACAGGCUUGUUUUGCAGGGUUAAUGAUUUAAGCCAUGUGAUGUAUGGUUCACAGGGUGCCUGGCACCUGCCAAGUAUUCUUCCCCCAGGAGUUGGCAGGUCCUUGAAGGCACUCUCUGGUUUAGAUAUUCUUAGCUCCUUCCACUGUUCCUCAUGCUACAUUAUCUUAAAUCUUUUUAUUUUUACCAUCCUGGUUCGUCUCCUCUAAAAAUCCUACCCAAAUGUCCCUGUUAAUUCAUGAUCCACCAGAAACAAACAAUCUUCCAGCUGAAUACAGAACCCAAGAGAACAAAAUGAUCUCCUUCCUUCUUCUAGAUUAUGCAUCCUAAAAUCUGACUGUUUUUUCUUUUCUGGCAAUCAGAGUGCACUGUUGAAUUUACUGUCAAUUAAACAUUCUCCAUCUCUUCUAUGUAUUUUUCUGUAUUUAGACAUUUUUCUCCAAUCCCAUACUUGUGUCAUUAGCUUUUCAGUCACAAAUAAAAGAAGUUUCACAUUGUUCCUUAUUAAAGAGCAUCUGUUUGACUUGGCCCAUUCUUCCCAGCAGUUAUAAUUCAGACCAAGGUUGUUCUCAUCCAACAUUCAAACAAACACUAUGGAAUGGGAGAGGUAUGAAAGCAUUCAUCCCGACAAACAAUGGUCUCACCAUUUUGGAAGGCAUCUUUUUUACUUCAUUUUUUAACAGCUGUAUUAAUAUGUAACUGAG
rnacentral:lncRNA from 1 species